ACAGAUGUUCUGGGAUCUCAUCACCAGAUUUCCGUUUCUUGGAGAACACAGCUCCUCUGGAGACCCUACUUGAGUGUCUGAGGAACAAAAU